rnacentral:rRNA from 1 species
UACGUAGGGUGCGAGCGUUGUCCGGAAUUAUUGGGCGUAAAGAGCUCGUAGGCGGUCUGUCGUGUCGGAUGUGAAAACCCAGGGCUCAACCCUGGGCCUGCAUUCGAUACGGGCAGACUAGAGUUCGGUAGGGGAGACUGGAAUUCCUGGUGUAGCGGUGAAAUGCGCAGAUAUCAGGAGGAACACCGGUGGCGAAGGCGGGUCUCUGGGCCGAAACUGACGCUGAGGAGCGAAAGCGUGGGGAGCAAACAGG